rnacentral:sRNA from 1 species
UAAUGGGAAGCUUGCAAGUCUUUCACGACUGUGGUUAUUUUCCUCAUUAUAAAAGUUGUGCUUUAAUGUAAAAACACAAGUUAUAUUUAAUUUACCUCCUCGGUCAUUUAUUGAAGUGCAAGUUGAAAUCACUACUUUCAUUUCGUGCUGUUUGCCUUUUGUUUUGGUUUCUCAUGUCGUUAUCUUUUUAAGAAAGGUUUAAUGGCAACAUAUUUCUUUAUUCUUUUUAAAAAUUCCUCGUUUGACAGUAUGCUUUAUGUGUGUUCUUUCUGGGCUCUGCUUGGACAUUCAGGGAUGUUAUGUGCAAAGCAGUUAGUAAUUCAUUAUUGGCCUCCUCUGUCUUCUAUGGUCACCCUAUACUUCUUGAAAUCCAUGGGUGUUUAGCCAGUCAUAUAUUCUGUAUAUUUAUAUAUCUUAACGGGACUCUGCUGAAUCUUCGGUGCUCUUGUUUAUUAUUAAUUGAAGUCUUUAUAGCCGCCUUUCACCUAUGGCCUUAAUGGAGUAUGCGUUUGUUUGUGGCACUGUUUUUACAGUGUGAAGUGAAAUUUAGCUGUUCUUAGCCACAGUUCUACCUGAAGGAGGGUCUGUUUUCAUUUAAAAUACUGAAGACCUGGAUGAUUUCAAGUUUUAUGUGAAACAUACUUAUAUUUAAAUGGGAAAUUUCUCAAAAAUGCAUCCAUUCUGGAGUAAAUUGUUAAGAUGGACAAGGAAUAGAGACUGCCAGUUACCAACGUCCCCGCUCAGCCCACUCCCUCAGGCUGCAGCGAUGAGCUCAGUACUCGGUCACCAAUGUCACGGCCUUGUGUGUGAACUGGUACUGCUUGGACCAUUCAUACCGCGGGGUCAGCACCAGCUAGAGAAACUCAGAGGUGGAAGAGGGCUGUUUUCAUUCCCCUCGCAGGUAAUGCUAACAUGCUUGCAUACAGGUAAUGCUAACAUGCUUGCAUACAGGUAAUGCUAACAUGCUUGCAUACAGGUAAUGCUAACAUGCUUGCAUACAGGUAAUGCUAACAUGCUUGCAUACAGGUAAUGUUAACAUGCAUACAGGUAAUGCUAACAUGCUUGCAUACAGGUAAUGUUAACAUGCAUACAGGUAAUGCUAACAUGCUUGCAUACAGGUAAUGUUAACAUGCAUACAGGUAAUGCUAACAUGCAUACAGGUAAUGCUAACAUGCUUGCAUACAGGUAAUGUUAACAUGCAUACAGGUAAUGCUAACAUGCUUGCAUACAGGUAAUGUUAACAUGCAUACAGGUAAUGCUAACAUGCUUGCAUACAGGUAAUGUUAACAUGCAUACAGGUAAUGCUAACAUGCUUGCAUACAGGUAAUGCUAACAUGCUUGCAUACAGGUAAUGCUAACAUGCUUGCAUACAGGUAAUGCUAACAUGCUUGCAUACAGGUAAUGUUAACAUGCAUACAGGUAAUGCUAACAUGCUUGCAUACAGGUAAUGUUAACAUGCAUACAGGUAAUGCUAACAUGCUUGCAUACAGGUAAUGUUAACAUGCAUACAGGUAAUGCUAACAUGCAUACAGGUAAUGCUAACAUGCAUACAGGUAAUGCUAACAUGCUUGCAUACAGGUAAUGCUAACAUGCAUACAGGUAAUGCUAACAUGCUUGCAUACAGGUAAUGUUAACAUGCAUACAGGUAAUGCUAACAUGCUUGCAUACAGGUAAUGUUAACAUGCAUACAGGUAAUGCUAACAUGCUUGCAUACAGGUAAUGUUAACAUGCAUACAGGUAAUGCUAACAUGCUUGCAUACAGGUAAUGCUAACAUGCAUACAGGUAAUGCUAACAUGCUUGCAUACAGGUAAUGUUAACAUGCAUACAGGUAAUGCUAACAUGCUUGCAUACAGGUAAUGCUAACAUGCAUACAGGUAAUGCUAACAUGCUUGCAUACAGGUAAUGUUAACAUGCAUACAGGUAAUGCUAACAUGCUUGCAUACAGCGAGGCUUGCAGGGUGUCGGUACAUGCUCCCGACAAGGGCGUUUGUGUAUUGGCUGCUGUCUUUUACAGUGAUUCCAGAGUCAGUUUGAAUGUAUGAGAAGCAAAGGGAAUGGGACUAAAUAUGCUGCUAGGAAUAUAAAUGACAUAGAAGCCAAUUACCAAAGUAAAGAUUUGCUUUCGAAAACAAGCUCUUUCCUGAAUGUUUGGCAUAAAUUAAUAUGGUUUUCACUUUAUCUAAAACUUUUUCAUCAGUUUGUUAUACUUGGGUUAAGAAUUAGUAAAGAGAAGAGCUAAUUCUGAUAUUUGGAGAUAAGAUGUUUAGCUAUUUAUAGUUUUAUUUUACUGUAUAAAGUAAGAUGAAAGCGAUAAUCCCAUUUAAGUAUGAAAUGUUAUUUCAGGCUUUGGGCACAUUUCUCCUGAAUAUUUAAUUUUUAACUCUCCCAGAGUAUUUCAUUGUUUCACUUUUGGCUUUAUCCACAAAAUCGCAGGGGGCAAAAGUUCUAUCUAAAAUGGCCUUUAUUUUUCUGUAUUAAAUGAUUUAUUUUCAGUUUGAUAUCAUAAGCUACAGAAAAUUGAGACAAUAUAAAUCAAAAGAAAUGUUUUGUGAUCCAGAUAUUUUGAUGGAUUCUUCUAGAAAUACUUACAUUUGAUGGAAUCAUAGUGCACACAGUAUGUUUCUCAUACUAGCUAUCAACUGUCUGUCCACCUUAGCCUGUGUUCCUGUAAAACAUUCCUAAUGUCGUCAAUAUUAUAGUUUUGUUUCUGAAGAGUCAUCUGUGUGCCAUGAUAAACAAUGCUCGUCUCUGUGACUCUGUAUUUAUGUCGAUCCUUGGUUGUUUCCGUGCUGUAAAGCCUCAGACUAGUUGCUGUGGUAAAGGGCACUGAUUCAGUCCUUGCACACGUGAAGCCAAGUUGCUCGGCAGAGAGCCGGUACUGAUUCACCCGUAGAGGUACACCGGAAGUUUAUGAUUUAACUCAUCCACUCAUGCUCUGCAAACAAAGGCAGCUCUGUCUAGGACAGCUCUGGGUUUUCAGGCCUUGGAAUGCGCUGUGUUAACCGUGGGCCGUGUUCUU